rnacentral:rRNA from 1 species
AUUGAACGCUGGCGGCAUGCUUUACACAUGCAAGUCGAACGGCAGCGCGGGCUUCGGCCUGGCGGCGAGUGGCGAACGGGUGAGUAAUACAUCGGAACGUGCCCAGUAGUGGGGGAUAGCUCGGUGAAAGCCGGAUUAAUACCGCAUACGACCUGAGGGUGAAAGCGGGGGAUCUUCGGACCUCGCGCUAUUGGAGCGGCCGAUGGCAGAUUAGCUAGUUGGUGGGGUAAAGGCCUACCAAGGCGACGAUCUGUAGCUGGUCUGAGAGGACGACCAGCCACACUGGAACUGAGACACGGCCCAGACUCCUACGGGAGGCAGCAGUGGGGAAUUUUGGACAAUGGGCGAAAGCCUGAUCCAGCAAUGCCGCGUGUGUGAUGAAGGCCUUCGGGUUGUAAAGCACUUUUGGCGGGAACGAAAAGGACUGUGCCAAUACCACGGUUCGAUGACGGUACCCGCAGAAUAAGCACCGGCUAACUACGUG